ACUCCUACGGGAGGCAGCAGUGGGGAAUAUUGCACAAUGGGCGCAAGCCUGAUGCAGCCAUGCCGCGUGUGUGAAGAAGGCCUUCGGGUUGUAAAGCACUUUCAGUUGUGAGGAAGGUGGUGUCGUUAAUAGCGGCAUCAUUUGACGUUAGCAACAGAAGAAGCACCGGCUAACUCCGUGCCAGCAGCCGCGGUAAUACGGAGGGUGCGAGCGUUAAUCGGAAUUACUGGGCGUAAAGCGCAUGCAGGUGGUUUGUUAAGUCAGAUGUGAAAGCCCGGGGCUCAACCUCGGAACUGCAUUUGAAACUGGCAGACUAGAGUACUGUAGAGGGGGGUAGAAUUUCAGGUGUAGCGGUGAAAUGCGUAGAGAUCUGAAGGAAUACCGGUGGCGAAGGCGGCCCCCUGGACAGAUACUGACACUCAGAUGCGAAAGCGUGGGGAGCAAACAGGAUUAGAUA
rnacentral:rRNA from 1 species